UGCAUCUCACCAGCUGUAACAGCAUCUCCAUAUGGAAAGACUCAGGCUUCCAGUGGAGCUGCUGUUAUUUGUGGCGGGACG
rfam:Oryzias latipes DNA, chromosome10, strain: Hd-rR.